rnacentral:rRNA from 1 species
GGUUAAGUUAAUAAGGGCGCACGGUGGAUGCCUUGGCACUAGGAGCCGACGAAGGACGUGACAAACGACGAUAUGCCUUGGGUAGCUGUAAGUAAGCGAUGAUCCAGGGAUUUCCGAAUGGGGGAACCCAACAGGUAGUACCUGUUACCCACAUCUGUUAAGGAUGUGAGGAGGAAGACGCAGUGAACUGAAACAUCUAAGUAGCUGCAGGAAGAGAAAGCAAAAGCGAUUGCCUUAGUAGCGGCGAGCGAAACGGCAGAAGGGCAAACCGAAGAGUUUACUCUUCGGGGUUGUAGGACUGCAAUGUGGACUCAAAGAUUAUAGAAGAAUGAUUUGGGAAGAUCAGCCAAAGAGAGUAAUAGCCUCGUAUUUAAAAUAGUCUUUGUACCUAGCAGUAUCCUGAGUACGGCGGGACACGUGAAAUCCCGUCGGAAUCUGGGAGGACCAUCUCCCAACCCUAAAUACUCCCUAGUGACCGAUAGUGAACCAGUACCGUGAGGGAAAGGUGAAAAGCACCCCGGGAGGGGAGUGAAAUAGAACCUGAAACCGUGUGCCUACAACAAGUUCGAGCCCGUUAAUGGGUGAGAGCGUGCCUUUUGUAGAAUGAACCGGCGAGUUACGUUAUGAUGCGAGGUUAAGUUGAAGAGACGGAGCCGUAGGGAAACCGAGUCUGAAUAGGGCGCCUUAGUAUCAUGACGUAGACCCGAAACCAUGUGACCUACCCAUGAGCAGGUUGAAGGUGCGGUAAGACGCACUGGAGGACCGAACCAGGGCACGUUGAAAAGUGCUUGGAUGACUUGUGGGUAGCGGAGAAAUUCCAAACGAACUUGGAGAUAGCUGGUUCUCUCCGAAAUAGCUUUAGGGCUAGCGUCGACAUUAGAGAUUCUUGGAGGUAGAGCACUGUUUGGGUGAGGGGUCCAUCCCGGAUUACCAAUCUCAGAUAAACUCCGAAUGCCAAUGAAUUAUGGUCGGCAGUCAGACUGCGAGUGCUAAGAUCCGUAGUCGAAAGGGAAACAGCCCAGACCACCAGCUAAGGUCCCAAAAUAAUUGUUAAGUGGAAAAGGAUGUGGGGUUGCACAGACAACUAGGAUGUUAGCUUAGAAGCAGCUAUUCAUUCAAAGAGUGCGUAAUAGCUCACUAGUCGAGUGACCCUGCGCCGAAAAUGUACCGGGGCUAAAACAAUUUACCGAAGCUGUGGAUACCUUUAUAGGUAUGGUAGGAGAGCGUUCUAUGUGUGAUGAAGGUAUACCGUGAGGAGUGCUGGAACGCAUAGAAGUGAGAAUGCCGGUAUGAGUAGCGAAAGACAGGUGAGAAUCCUGUCCACCGUAAGACUAAGGUUUCCAGGGGAAGGCUCGUCCGCCCUGGGUUAGUCGGGACCUAAGGAGAGACCGAAAGGUGUAUCCGAUGGACAACAGGUUGAUAUUCCUGUACUAGAGUAUGUAGUGAUGGAGGGACGCAGUAGGCUAACUAAAGCAGACGAUUGGAAGAGUCUGUCUAAGCAGUGAGGUGUGAAUUGAGUCAAAUGCUUAAUUCUAUAACAUUGAGCUGUGAUGGGGAGCGAAGUUUAGUAGCGAAGUUAGUGAUGUCACACUGCCAAGAAAAGCUUCUAGCGUUUAAACAUACUCUACCCGUACCGCAAACCGACACAGGUAGUCGAGGCGAGUAGCCUCAGGUGAGCGAGAGAACUCUCGUUAAGGAACUCGGCAAAAUGACCCCGUAACUUCGGGAGAAGGGGUGCUGACUUAAAGUCAGCCGCAGUGAAUAGGCCCAAGCAACUGUUUAUCAAAAACACAGCUCUCUGCUAAAUCGUAAGAUGAUGUAUAGGGGGUGACGCCUGCCCGGUGCUGGAAGGUUAAGAGGAGUGCUUAGCGUAAGCGAAGGUAUGAAUUGAAGCCCCAGUAAACGGCGGCCGUAACUAUAACGGUCCUAAGGUAGCGAAAUUCCUUGUCGGGUAAGUUCCGACCCG